rnacentral:rRNA from 1 species
UACAGAGGGUGCAAGCGUUGUUCGGAAUUAUUGGGCGUAAAGCGCGUGUAGGCGGCUUUGCAAGUCGGGUGUGAAAUCCCUCAGCUCAACUGAGGAAGUGCGCCCGAAACUGCAGAGCUUGAGUACCAGAGAGGAUGUCGGAAUUCCCCAAGUAGAGGUGAAAUUCGUAGAUAUGGGGAGGAACACCGGUGGCGAAGGCGGGCAUCUGGAUGGAUACUGACGCUGAGACGCGAAAAGCGUGGGUAGCAAACAGG